UAUUGAAAUGUUCUGGAACCUCGGUC
rnacentral:piRNA from 1 species